rnacentral:ncRNA from 2 species
UUACGUCUUCAGGGCGGGGUGAAACUCCCCACCGGCGGUAUGCGGCAACGUACGUCCACGUGCGAUGUUGCGAGCCGCGAGCGCCUGCACAUUGCGUGCAGGGUCAGCAGACCUGGUGCGAGGCCAGGGCCGACGGUCAUAGUCCGGAUGAAAGAAGAUGGGC